AAGUCGUAACAAGGUAACCGUAGGUGAACCUGCGGUUGGAUCAUUACCAAAUAUCCAAUGGGUACUGAGGGCACCUGGUCGGGUGGCGUGUUUCUUCGGGAUGCGUCAGCCGGCUUCCGCCCCCAGUGUCCAUUUCCACCUCUUGUGCAAUGUAAACGUUUUGGCGGGCCGGGCCCAGGGGAGACAGGGAGACCUGCUUGCCCCGAGUCAGCUUGUGCGGGCCGUCGCUUACACAGCGGCGGCGGCUUGCAUCCGUCAUAUUAACCCACUUAAUACCCAUCCAACACACAUCUUCUGACGUUUAUAUGCCAGGGUUGCGCGUUUGCGUACGCCCUUGGAACAUAACCGAAAACAACUUUUGACAACGGAUCUCUUGGCUCUC
rnacentral:misc_RNA from 1 species